UACGUAGGGACCAAGCGUUGUUCGGAUUUACUGGGCGUAAAGGGCGCGUAGGCGGCGCGGUAAGUCACUUGUGAAAUCUCUGAGCUUAACUCAGAACGGCCAAGUGAUACUGCAGUGCUAGAGUGUGGAAGGGGCAAUCGGAAUUCUUGGUGUAGCGGUGAAAUGCGUAGAUAUCAAGAGGAACACCUGAGGUGAAGACGGGUUGCUGGGCCAACACUGACGCUGAGGCGCGAAAGCCAGGGGAGCGAACAGG
rnacentral:rRNA from 1 species